rnacentral:lncRNA from 1 species
UAGUAGAUAUCAAAAUUGGAUUUUUCUUCUUUUGAGUUUAGAUUGAAGAUUAAAAAUAAAAAUGAAUUUUCUAAAUUCUAAUAUAGAUUUUUUUUAAAGUCCGUCCAAAGCAAGCAAGCAAGCAGACCCUGCAGACGGAGAAGGAAAAAAACAUAUAUGACACAAUCAAUUCAAUAAUAGAGUCAAACAAGAGUUGGUGAAAAUGGUGUGGGGGAAGGAUUGGUGUUAAGGAGAAAGCUGUCGACGACGAUGAUGAUAAUAUGAUAUUAGUAUCUGUCGAUGUGUACCUUGCAGUGUUGUUGUUUGGUUUGGUUUUGGUUGGUUUGAGUGCGUAUUCUUUCUCACCUUCCUCUUCUUUCUUUCUGCUUGUUCUGCCGUUUUUAAACU